GCAAUUUUGCUAAGGGCAGAAAUCUGCCCUCUCUAAAUAUCUACUUCCACCAUUUGCAACAGGCCAUGUCAGAGAGAGAGAGAGAGAGAGAGAGGCGGAGGCGGAGGCGGAGCGCCGUGCGGCGGCGGCGGCGGCGACGCAACAGAAUCUUGGGGUUCGGCCCUUCAAAAUCCGUCGCUACCCGUUUUCUCUGUACCUAUCGUCGUGUGCAUUUCUCCUCCUUGGGUACUACUACUGUGCAUGGGUCGGGAGCUUUUUGUGCGAAUGCGAUGGGCUCCGGUCGUCCGGAUCUGCGUUCUUUUUCCGGUCAUCUUCUUCCUGAAUAUCGUGUUCCUCGGGUUGAUUUCUGGGUUCUUCGUGGUUUGACUUGUUGAGGGAGCCCUUUUUUUACUUUUGUUAAUGGCGUUGCGGGGGCGGUGGGGGUGAAGUCACUGGAGGCAGCGGUUCAUCGAUCUCUUCCUGGGGAAUUUUGUUGGUUCGAAUGGACAAGACGCAUGAAUCGGUCGAUAAACCUCUGCAUCCAGCGCUCGCUCCUCUCUUUUGUCUUGGGGGCGAGUGGUUUGGAAAAAGGGGUCCAACGGAUGGGAGAUUUUCUGGGAACCCUUUGGGACAUUUUGUUUUCUUUGAUGGAAGGUGACCCUGGAGGCAGUUGAUUUUCUUGUCUGAGGAAAUCUCUUCGAACGGAGCAACGAGCGAGGGAAGAAAGUGGGUUAUGGUUCUUGUUUUGUUUCCUUGGUUUUUCAGAACUGAACGAGGUUCUUGUUGGCGCUCCUGGCUUGAUUAAGUUUUUUUUUUUUUUUUUUUUAAUGCUUUAAUGAGGCGAAUUAUCAGCUUCCGUUUUCGCUUGGCUUACUGUCGUAUUUCUGAGAAAGGAAAAACUUUGCUUGAUCUAAGAUAGAAGUAUGCUGUGAUUUGUAAAAGAAAAAACAGAGAGAAUGAUAGUGUGGAUCAUUCGAAAAUGGCUGCUUUCUAGAAGGAUUUUCUGCAGCUGUUGUGGUGAUUUCAGUAUGCUUGCAACUGUUGGAGCUGUGAUUUGUUGUCGAGACUCAUUUGACCAUAUAAAGUUAACAUCUUGUUGGCUUAGGUAUAGAUUUCUCUGCGUCAAUUGAUCUGCUUUGAAGAAUUACUAUGGCUGCCAAAGUGUGGAGUAGACAAUUGUCAAUUGAAUGUCCGGAGUUGAUUUCUCCUCUCGUGUUUCAUCGUCAUCAUCAUUUCAGUUCAUUUCUGGUUCUUCCUCUCAGUCCCAGUUUCUUGGAAUAUUUUCCGAUGAAGGUUCUCUAAUGUGAAAAUAUGUCGAAAUUUGUGGGUACUUGUGGUUUUAUUUUUUCAAGUACAAGUUUGAUAACAUUUGUAAAAUGGUCAUUAUCUUUAUUACAAGCCUGCAUACAUUCAACAAUUCGGUUAGCUUAUCUUUCUAGAUGCCUUCCUCAAAGUGAGUUGUACCUUGAUUCUUCUUCAUAAUUUUCUUUGCACCUUUUGGCCGAAAGUUGUGUCCUUUGUGUUGACGCAUUGGAUUAUUUGCAAGCUCAAGCUUGUUAUUGCUUCUGCACCUUUUUACGUAAGUACUCCAGAGAGUGAUUUAUCCAGAAGUUUCUACAUGGUCAUGCGUGGUUCGAGUUUCGGGAAGUCAUUAGGUUUUUAAUUUUUUUCUACUCUGUUCCUAUGUUUCUGAGUGGAAGUGUGAUACUGGCUAUAUGCAAUGUACCAUGUAGUCUUCCCAUGGUUGCCCGUUGUUGAGUUUUUGGAUGAAAGUGGUUCCCAUGAAUGUGUCAUUUUCUUGAUCGGGUGGUAGAAAAGUGGUUCCUUGGUUCCAGUUGGCACCCCAAGGGGACCAUCUUUGAAUGAAGUUCCAGCAGUGGGACAAUCUACUGCUUCAAAGUGAGGAAAGCAACAGCUUGUGGACUACAACUUGGGAGAGAGAAUCCGAAACAUUGAAGGAAGCACUUUUGGAAUCUGGCAUCAUGUUCUGCGUAUGAAGAUAGUUUGGAAAGGAUGAAAAAGAUUUGUGAGGAAAGAUUCCUUUGUGUACACCGUCUGAGGAAUCACCAAUAUGGGGAAAUUGGGUUUGUGGAAGAAUCUAGGAUGACAUCUGCAGGUUGAGGAUACUCUCUCUCUCUCUCUCUUUCUUUUCCUUUUCGGUUGGUUUUCAUUCUGCUUUUGCCGUCUUAAAAUGUUUAUGCUCAGCCAUAAUUGCUGAUGUCUAAUUCUGUAGUUGUAAUGCUGCAACUGGUGAUGCUCUUGCAUUCACUGUGUAUUUGUCAGCUACAAGGCACCUUUUGCCUAUAGUAGUACGUUUUUCUAGUUUAAGUUUCGCGCUUCUUUUCGUUAUAUGUA